GAAUAACCAAGUUUCGCUGUAUAAAGAAUUUCAUCAAUAGGCAUAACUGAAACCACAAUGUCAAUAAAUUUUAUCGGAGUAUCGGUUUUAGUUAUGAUUAUCGAUAAAAUAUUUAAUUUUAUUUAAUUUAGAUAUUUUGAUUUAAGAAUUUGUGACUGUGCGGGAUUCCAAACAAAACGUUCAAGAAAUUCAAAUCCAUUCUGGGACAAAUUGACAGAUUGAAGAAAAUAAGAAAACGUUGUUUAAAAUAAGAGAAUUAUCUGUGUAUAUAGACGACCGUUGCAAAUAUAUGGGAAACAGAUUUCCCUUUCAAUUCAGGUCUAUUUUUGUGAAUAAGAGAGCGAAACAAUUAAUGGUAUUUAUCUCGAUGCGAAUAUAUCAGAAUCGAAUUCAUUUUGUAUAAUGGAGGAUGAAAGUAUACUGAUGUGUAAAUUAUGUAAAAAGGUAUUCAAUGGGAAAAUACCUUACGGCCAACAUAUGAUGUCUUCAAAACAUUUAAAGAAGAAGAAGGAGAUUCUAAUUUCUGUUCUAUGCAGAGAUGAUACUUUGUCUGGAAGCAGCAAAGAAUUAAGAGAAGAAGCGAACUCAUCUGGGAUAACAUCCGAUUCUCCUUCCAGAAAAGAACAAGAGACAGAUACUUCUACGGAAAAAUCUGUUAUGAAAGGCUGUAUUUGUUGUGGAAUUGCCGAAUUUAUCGAUACAAUGUCAUUAAUUGAGCACCUUCAUAGUUCCGAUCAUGUUAGAAGAUCUUAUGAGAAAGUUUAACAUUUCGAGAAUGUUAACG